AGCCUCAAGGAGGCUCCUCGUGUCUUCCUUAGAGCCCUGACUCCCCAUCUUGUCUGGGGGCAAGUGAGAAACCAGAGGUUGUGGCCGGAGAUCUGAGAGCUGGGGGUGAGCACGCACUGAGCUGCUGGAAAAUCACUCCUUGGUCCCUCUCCUUGAUCACAUUCCGGCUCCUCUGCUCAGACACCCCGCUUUUAAAUCGUUUUUGGUUUACGUUCAUGCGAAUUAAACAAAAUAAACCCAAGCAAAUCAGCCCUGACUAGAUUUGGGUUUGCUCCCUUUCCGCAAGACGCACACCAGGGCUUCGCUCGCAGCGCAGCCAAAACCAAAGGACAAUUAAACUCCAGGUUCCCUUUUAAAUUAAACAUUCCCUUCCAGGUCGUGGGUUCUGCUCCAAACCAGACAGUGAACCCACCAACGGGUGGGUAAAAGAGUUCAGUGUUGUGGCACAGCUCCCCGAAAAUCCCCCUCGCGCCGUGGAUCUCAGCGAUGCCGACCCCAUGAGCUCCUGCUUCAGGAUGGGAACAUCCUGGUUCUCCACCAGGUCUGCAGAGCAGGGGGGGGGGAAGGAUGUUUGUUAUUCUUGAGGGAUUUUAUUAUUUUUUCCUGGAUUCACAACGGCACAGAGGCUUGGAGGAGCUCGUUGCUUUGCUAAUGUGUGGUUUGCAACGAGAGCUGCGGAAAGGCUCCUUGAAGGAAAACCAAACUGGCUUCGGGAAUGAGCCAAGCCCGAGUGUUUGGGAGUGAUCUGGGGAAGAGGAUGAAGAGUGGGGAGGGGGAGAGGUGAAGGAGGGUAAUAGGAGCUGUGUGUGGUACUUCCACACAGAAAAAAAAAAAAACCAAAAAAACCCUUGAGGAACUGGUACUUCCACACAGAAAAGAAAAAAAAAAAAAACCUUGAGGAACGGAUUUGGGAUGCCUCCCUUUGGAAACAGUUGAAAAAAGGGAGCAGGAGGCUGAAUUUAAGAAGAGGUUAGAAAUGUUUGAAGAGCAAAUAGACCGAAAAAAACCCCAAACCAUGUCCUUGAGGGCUCCUCUCCCAUCAGCAUUCCCAUUCCAGGAGAGCACACUGGGUAAGGCUACGUGACCAGUGAAUGUGUCCUGACCCCAAGUGCACCACAAGAAUAAUAGAACUCAUAUUGUGCUUUCCUCUGGUAG
rnacentral:lncRNA from 1 species